GACGAACGCUGGCGGCGUGCUUAACACAUGCAAGUCGAACGGAAAGGCCCUGCUUUUGUGGGGUGCUCGAGUGGCGAACGGGUGAGUAACACGUGAGUAACCUGCCCUUGACUUUGGGAUAACUUCAGGAAACUGGGGCUAAUACCGGAUAGGAGCUCCUGCUGCAUGGUGGGGGUUGGAAAGUUUCGGCGGUUGGGGAUGGACUCGCGGCUUAUCAGCUUGUUGGUGGGGUAGUGGCUUACCAAGGCUUUGACGGGUAGCCGGCCUGAGAGGGUGACCGGCCACAUUGGGCCUGAGAUACGGCCCAGACUCCUACGGGAGGCAGCAGUGGGGAAUAUUGCACAAUGGGCGGACGCCUGAUGCAGAAACGCCGCGUGCGGGAUGACGGCCUUCGGGUUGUAAACCGCUUUCGCCUGUGACGAAGCGUGAGUGACGGUAAUGGGUAAAGAAGCACCGGCUAACUACGUG
rnacentral:rRNA from 1 species